rnacentral:tRNA from 1 species
AGGCGAGAUGGCAGAGUUGGUCGAUUGCGUCUGAUUUGAAAUCAGAUGAAUCUUUACAGGUUCCGUGGGUUCGAAUCCCACUCUCGCCUU